CCUACGGGUUGCAGCAGUGGGGAAUAUUGCACAAUGGGGGAAACCCUGAUGCAGCGACGCCGCGUGAGUGAAGAAGUACUUCGUUAUGUAAAGCUCUAUCAGCAGGGAAGAAAAUGACGGUACCUGAGUAAGAAGCCCCGGCUAACUACGUGCCAGCAGCCGCGGUAAUACGUAGGGGGCACGCGUUAUGCGGAUGUACUGGGGGUAAAGGGAGCGUAGACGGCAGUGCAAGUCUGGCGGGAAGGGCGGGGGCUCAACCCGGGGACUGCUCUGGAAACUGGACGGCUGGAGUGCAUGAGAGGAGAGUGGAAUUCCGGGGGUAGGGGUGAAAUCCGUAGAUAUUAGGAGGAACACCAGUGGCGAAGGCGGCUACCUGGAAUGUAACUGACGCUGAGGCGCGAAAGCGUGGGGAGCAAACAGGAUUAGAUACCCUGGUAGUC
rnacentral:rRNA from 1 species